rnacentral:lncRNA from 1 species
CUUCCCCCUGUCAGCGGGUCUCCACUGAAUCAUCGGCAGGAGUCCCGGAUGAUCCCCCAGUCGCGCAGCCCCUCCCCCGCUCCUUCCCAACCCGCGCUGCCGCAGCCAUCGCAGACUCUAGGGGAGGGAGCGAUGUUCUCUCCUACCAUUCCAGCACCUCCGAAGGUGUAAGCAAGCAUACCCCAAUGCUCCAGCAAGCUGGACCCUGGACACAACUGAGCCACAAGCAGAGCAUUGAAGAAAACACACCCCAGGCCAAGGAUUCAAUAAUUUGGGCUGAUAAACUGGAGAAGGUGACUAUGGC